GCAGUUUACAACCCGUAGGGCCGUCUUCCUGCCCGCGGCAUGGCUGGUUCGGGCUUCCCCCCCUUGCCCUGUAUUCCUUACUGCUGCC
rnacentral:rRNA from 1 species